UUCCAUUCUCCCCUGCUACACAGCCUCGCCAUUCCCAUAACCCCCUAAAGAGCCGCCACUCACCUUUCUUCUUACCCAUCGUCGUUCUCUCCUGACCUCCCAGCUCAACCCUCAUUUUUAUUUUGCCUUUGGACCACAACAACCGUUUCUUCCCCUGCACCCGAAGCAGCCCUCUUUGUCAACGUAGCCCCAGACCGGCCUCCAUCGAGCCCCACAGCAGCAGCAACCAUGUCCUCUCAGUAGAGACAUGACGAACACAAGAGCAAGACAUGGACGAGCAGAAGGAAACAACAUAAAUAGACGAAAACACCGAGAGACCAACCAGCAUGCCUUCCCCAUCGCCUUCGUCCCUUCGUUUCUGUCUCCAGUUUCUUCUCCUCCAGCGGUGCAACCCUUUCUUCCAUAGGCACUGUGAGCUCUGGAAAGCAAUAACAACACCUCCUCCAUCUGCACCAGCGGCGUUCACACCAGUUAGACCAACGAUGCAACUUCUUCUUCGCCAN
rnacentral:lncRNA from 1 species